ACAAAUGCUCAAUCGACCUCUUCAAUCUUUGGGCCAGCACCGCCGCCGCUGCCUCCAGAUUUUGGCUUGCCGUAACCACCACCGGGCAUGUCGCCCAUCGGCACAUCGCCGCCACCGGGUCCGCCCUGGUACAUCUUGGCAAUGAUCGGAUUGCACAGCCCCUCUAGCUCCUUCAAUUUAUCCUCCAGCUCAUCCACUUCGGCCAGCUGGUUCCGAUCCAGCCACUCGAUUGCCUCGUCGAUGGCCUUCUCAAUCU
rnacentral:lncRNA from 1 species